rnacentral:misc_RNA from 1 species
GCAAUACUCUUUCAUUUCCAUCUUUGUGUUAAUUUCCUCCAUCCAUUACUUCCCUCUAUUUAUUAUUAUUCCUUUCAAUAUUCCUCUCUUUCCAUUUUAUUCAUAAAAAAUAAAAACUAAAAAAAGUUGAAAGUCAUCUGAGGAUUUGCAGGUGCAAUGGCUCAACGUGUUCUAACUCGUGUUCACAGUCUUCGUGAACGUCUUGAUGCUACUUUGGAUGCUCAUCGCAAUGAAAUUUUGCUCUUUCUUUCAAGGAUCGAAAGCCACGGGAAAGGGAUCUUGAAACCUCACCAGCUACUGGCUGAGUUUGAAUCAAUUCAGAAAGAAGACAAAGACAAACUGAAUGAUCAUGCCUUUGAAGAAGUCCUGAAAUCCACUCAGGAAGCAAUUGUUUUGCCCCCAUGGGUUGCACUUGCUAUUCGUUUG